rnacentral:misc_RNA from 1 species
GAUGAAGAACGUAGUGAAAUGCGAUAAGUAGUGUGAAUUGCAGAAUUCAGUGAAUCAUCGAAUCUUUGAACGCACAUUGCGCCCGCCAGUAUUCUGGCGGGCAUGCCUGUUCGAGCGUCAUUUCAACCAUCAAGCCUUCGCUUGUGUUGGGGCCCCGCGGCUGCCGCGGUCCCCUAAAUCCAGUGGCGGGCUCGUCGUCGUACCGAGCGCAGUAGACAUCCUCGCUCCGGGAACCCGACGGGUGCCGGCCGUGAAACCCCCCACAUCAAGGUUGACCUCGGAUCAGGUAGGAAUACCCGCUGAACUUAAGCAUAUCAAUAAGCGGAGGA